rnacentral:rRNA from 1 species
CAGUAGCCGCGGUAAUACGUAGGGCGCAAGCGUUGUCCGGAAUUAUUGGGCGUAAAGAGCUCGUAGGCGGUUUGUCGCGUCUGGUGUGAAAACCUCAGGCUCAGCCUGGGGCGUGCAUCGGGUACGGGCAGACUAGAGUGCGGUAGGGGAGACUGGAAUUCCUGGUGUAGCGGUGGAAUGCGCAGAUAUCAGGAGGAACACCGAUGGCGAAGGCAGGUCUCUGGGCCGCAACUGACGCUGAGGAGCGAAAGCAUGGGGAGCGAACAGGAUUAGAUACCCCGGUAGUCCCUGUCUCUUAUAC